rnacentral:tRNA from 1 species
AAGAUAUUAGUAAAAUUAUUACAUUGCCUUGUCAAGACAAAAUUGUAGGGUAAUUCCUUCAUAUCUUU